AAGCUGGAAUAAUCCGCUGCCAUCCACGGGGAAACCGUCCGAAACGCCGACCGCACCCACCUCUUUAAAGUUUGGAAAAACGACAACCAUCGCCAUUGUUACCGGCAUCACGCGCCUGUUUGUCUUCGUUUAUAUUUAGAGCUUGGCCAGCCGUUUUCUGUUCUCUUCUGCGUGUCUUGUUCCUUCCGCCACCCCUCGUUGGCGUCGUUCUCUCGUUGUUUUCGAAGCUAAACCAAACGCGUUUUGACAGCUCUUUCGACCAUGAAAACAUUCCCACAUCCCUUUACGAAGAAGAGAUUAAUCCCGAAAAUAGCGGUUUAAAGCCCUCCUCCUCGCCUCCCAUGGAAGCAAAUUGUGAUUUGUGAUGGCUCCCUCUCUCAUCUUUCCAGCUACCGGUCCUGUGACGCCCCUUUCCACCUCCAUUUUCUCGUCCCAUAUUCUUUGCUUUCAACCCAUCCAAAGAGCUUCUCAUCGACGAAAGAAGUUGCGAAGGAUUCAAUGAA
rnacentral:lncRNA from 1 species